rnacentral:lncRNA from 12 species
UAUUUAAAAAACAACCACCUAAGCCAACUAAUAAUAAGAAAAAUAAUGUUGGAAUUCUAAAAUUAAAAGGCUCACACUAAAGCCUAGCUUGGAGUCUGGCUCAGCAGUUGAUUGUUUUAAUUAUUUUUCAUCUCUGGAUAUUUAAAGGUAAUUCUCGACAUUUUGUGAGGUGUCAUUGAAAAUCUCUGGAGACCUCAGGGAUAGAGGAGCCUUGCUGAGUAUGAAGGGAAUAGAUAUCCCAAGUCUCCAGACAAAUGGCAUCCACACAUGUAAGACAAACUCAUCCUCUUAGGACAUUCUCCUGAUAUAAAUUAAUAUUCCCUAUUGGUUUUUUUUGGUUUGCAAAGUGAAGCUUUGGUAACUGCUACUUGACAGCUGGAAAACGAUGAUUGGACAAUCCAGUGAGAUCAGGGAGUCUAGAAUCCACAUAUAAUAAAGUGAGAUGGAAGCUGAGGGUUAAAGAACUCUGCAGAAAAUUGGAGAACAAGGAGCACAGGAGACCAAAGGAGAAAUAAAUGGGUACAUAUGACCUCUCACACCCCCAAGAGCCUGCAAUCUGCAUUUCCAAGAGACCACUGCAGAGAUUUCCACAGCACCUCUGCUUCUCUAAUGACAUGGGCACAAGAUUCCACCCUUAUUUCACAUUCAGCCAAUGCAGCUCUGCACAUGGAAAGGAGGGCCUUUGAAACAUUCCAUCAGGGGCUUGCAGAGGACGUCUGGCAGCACAGCACCUGACCAACUUCAGGAGAACAAAGCCUCCAUCUGGACCGAAGGGAAAGAGAGCCGGUCGCCUGUGGAGCAGCAGAGAACAAGGCUCUGCUUCCCUUUGAAGCACUGGCGUUCUUCUUAAUCACCUGGCAAAGUCUUAAUUUAAAGAGGGACUCUUAGAGAAGGGGGGAAUCUCAAGUAUAUUUGACUUUCAUAUCAAAUCUACUUACCUUUCAUCAGGUUUAUUAAAAUUGGUGAUGUGUUAAUUGUGAACCCUGUUUGUCUCUGAAUAUGAAGUACUGCCUUUAGGGUCCCCCCUCCUUGCUCUGUUUUGUCUUAGGAUACACUCACAUUGCUGCCUUGGCCAUGGACUAAUUAUUUCUGGGGAGAAAUACUGUGAUGUCAGGCUGCUGGGUUACUGUUGUUGCAGGGUAAACAGAAGAGGAUGUUAGAUUCUUAGAAUGCCUAAUUAGAAAACAAAAAAUGCAUUGCAGGAUGGCUAAAAAAGUACAAGCCUAGGAAAUAUUGCAUUUUUCACCAGUGGAUAUUACAUGUAUUGAGACAUUUUCUAUAUUGACUCUUAAGAAUUAAAUAUUGUGAAGGAAUUCUUUUACCUUUUUAGGAAGGUAUCUGAAAGAUGCAUUUUGGAGAAAUACGUAAAAUCCAUAAAGUUAUGGUCUUGGGAGGAGUAUUCAGUUUCAUAUCGUGAGUGGGAAAAAAGUCAGUGAUUCCAAUACACUCCCCUCACCCAGAUUCCACCACAGGAUGCUUUUUUUUUUUUUUUUAAUAAGGGAUAAGUCAUUUUUUAAUUUUAUACUUGAUAUUGGGUCCUGGAUGCAGCCAUAUGUUGGGAUACAAGGAACAUAAUGUACUUCCUGUCGUAAAAGAGUUUGUAACCUAUAUGUGGGAAAUGAAAUCAUCUGGAAACAGUACAAACAUAGAAUCGAGCAUCACAAAUAUCAAUGGGAAACUGGAAGAAGUCAAUUUUAGUCAAAGACAGAGGUGACUGGGCUCAUGGAAUUGCAGUUAGAGAUCAACUUUAAAAGUUUCAGAGUUGGGCAGCCUGGGUGGCUCAGCGGUUUAGCGCUCCCUUCAGCCCAGGGUGUGAUCCUGGAGACCCAGGAUCGAGUCCCACAUCAGGCUCCCUGCAUGGAGCCUGCUUCUCCCUCUCCUGUGUCUUUGCCUUUCUCUCUCUCUCUCUGUGUCUCUUAUGAAUAAAUAAAUAAAAUCUUAAAAAAAUAAAUAAAAG